ensembl:lncRNA
AGCGCUUUGAUUUUACAGGCUUGGUUGGUUUCCAAGGAUUUUAGGAGGACGAGCGCGUGGCUCAUUGUUACUGUUACAUUUAUUUUUUCUUUCAGGUGGCAGGUGGAGUUAGCCGGCGGUAGGUUUGAGCUAUAUGGCGGUAGGUUGGCGGUAUAUGGCGGUAUAUGGCGGGAGGUGGAGUUCGACGUCGAUGAAGGUCUUCUUCGCUUAGCCCCGUCCUAGCUCACGGUACGGAGCCAGGCAAAAGUCUUAAGGUGACCCUUAGGCCGGUUAGCUCAGAUGGUUAGAGCGUGGUGCUAAUAACGCCAAGGUCACGGGUUCGAUCCCCGUACGGGCCAUGAGAUGCUCUUAUCUUCAGACAAAUUCUCAGGACUGAUUCACUGACA